GGAUGAUGUAGUGGGUUUCGCUUUGUGAGAAACAGAGGGCCAAGACAGACGCUCACCACCUCCUCUGAAGCUAUAAACCUCAGCAUCKUAUCCAUCACAUGACAUCGGGACCUUAAUAGACUAUAGACACCACAGACUGUAAUGGACAUCCUCAGAUUCCUCACAGGGUGCACACUUGUCUCGCUUGGUCACUGUUGGAUGGUGAAGGUGCCCAAUACUGUGAAGGCAGUAGAUGGUAGUUGUGUAGAAGUGUCCUGUCACACCGCCCCCCARCACAGGGUCAUCUGGUACCGGUAUCAUAGCGUUCUCUAUCCCAAGGUUUAUGAUGGCAAGGAACCGACCAGUGUGGAGACCAGUUUUAGAGGGCGUACAUCAGUGCCAGGCAAUGCAUCAGAGGGUGACUGUACACUGAGGGUUGAGAGUGUGACAUGGACAGACAAUAAKCUCCAGCUCUACGUGUGGAUCAACCCUGAUGAGUCAGCUACACAACAUUUCCAUCAUCAGAUCGUAAGGAUUACAA